UUUGCUUCUCAGCCUUUUGGCUAAGAGCAAGUGUAGUAUCUGUUUUUAUCAGUUUAAUAUCUGAUAUGUCCUCUAUCCCAUAGAAGGAAGAAGCCACCACCAAAGAAGAUAAAGAAGACUGGUAAAAUAAAUUAGUGAACUAUGCAAGACAUAUU
ensembl:snRNA U2 U2 spliceosomal RNA